rnacentral:rRNA from 1 species
CGUGUAGGCGGUCUUAUCGGUCAGAUGUGAAAGCCCAGGGCUCAACCCUGGACGUGCAUUUGAAACAGUAAGACUUGAGUACUGGAGAGGAAAGCGGAAUUCCUGGUGUAGAGGUGAAAUUCGUAGAUAUCAGGAGGAACACCGAUGGCGAAGGCAGCUUUCUGGACAGAAACUGACGCUGAUGCGCGAAAGCGUGGGGAGCGAACAGGAUUAAUACCCUGGUAGUCC